rnacentral:lncRNA from 1 species
GUAGAUGCUCAGCCUCCAAACCAUGCCUUGCGUACUUGGCUUUGCCAUUCUGCAAACCAAAUGUCUGCUUUGUUGGCUGGCUUCUUGUGCAGCUCCAUGAACACAGGGUGUCACAGGGGAGUGGAAGCUGGAGGAAGGAAAGGGGCUCGCUCCUGUGAGCUUUCUGUCUGCUGUGGUUCCUAUAUACGUCAUUCCUGGAAUGCUUCUUUACCCCUCAGAGGCAGUGCUUUUCCGGAGCAGCAGCUGAGUCCAGGGACUUCUGCUUGCUGCUGCCAAGUGAAAAAUCAUGUAUUUACUUCCCGUUCCGCCGUGAUUGUAAGUUUCCUGAGGCCUCCCCAGCCCUGCAGAACUCAACAAUACCAGGAAACACAAAUUUACAUACUGCUCCACAGUAAAGUCUAUUUGAAUCUCCUGACUUAAAAAAAAUCUGAGCUAAAGCUGGUUUAAGUACUAUAGAAACAACGGGGUGAUAUGAAGAUAUGAUGACUCCUUUUAUAAACUAACUUCAAAAUGUUAGCUUUUUUUAUAGUCAUCAGCUCACUCUAACGCUGUACCACUGUGAUCUUAACUUUGUUUAAACAUCAAUCCUUGUGCACACUGUGCUUAAAUGAGUCUUGCCAUAGCC